rnacentral:SRP_RNA from 1 species
GCUGGCCAUGAUGGCACAUGUGUGUAGUCCCAUCUACUCUGGAGGUUGAGGUGGAAGUAUUGCUUGAGACCAAGAGUUCUGGGCUGUAGUGCACCUGGCUGACAGUGUGUCUACCCUAAGGUCAGCAUUGAUAUGUUUAUCUCAUGAGAGUGAUGGACCACCAGGUUGCUGAAGGAGAGCUGAAGUAGCCCAGGUUGGGAACAGGGUGCAUCAAAAUUCCUGUGCUGGUCUGUAGUGGAGUUGUGCCUGUCAAUAGCUACCACACUCAAGUCAGAGCAACACAGAGACUUGGUCUCUAAAAUAAUAAUAACUAUU